UCUAGGUAUGGCACUCGUGAUUUUAUGAGUAGGUAAUUAAUUUAUUCACAUUUCUUUUUUUUUUUAAUCUUUCAUGUUAAAUAAAUUUUAAUAUUUUUAUGCAAAGAUUGUAUUUAAUAUUUAUUUAUCUUUACAUAUUUAAUUGUUUUAAUGUUAAAGUUUUGUGUAGCUAUUUAAUUAAUAAUGUCUUAAAUGUGUUUGUUUCUAUUAUAAUCAAAUGUGUAAGGGAAACACUACUAUAAUACUGGUUCUAUGAAUAUUUUGUUUUGUUUGUAUAAUUCUACUUAUUGUAAACUCUAUGAUUUCUGUCGUGUCUAACGAAAAAGACUUACCUUGCCCUUUUCAAUUUCUUUUCGGCCAUUUGGCAUGUAAUUUUUUGGUGCGGAUGUAAAAACCACCACAAAAUGUAAUAACUUAUCUGUUACCGCCGUUUUGGCGGUUCGAGUCAUGGGCCUCAUCCUGGCUUUGGUGUUCCAGGAAUCUAAAUUCAUUUUUGGGAAUUAACCUCUUCAAAACAAAGGCCAGAAAUUUCAUUAUUAUAAUUAUUAUUAUAUUAAGGUUAUGUAACUGUUUUAAACUUCUACGUGAUCAUCAUGCAAGUUUCUACUAUUGAACUUGAAUCAACGAAAUAAUAUUGAUUUCUACACUUUGGAACAUUUCCGGCAAUUAAUUUUCAUUAUGAAGAAAUAAUUAUAAGAAGACUUCAAUAAUUUAAUAUUUGUUUGAUGAAUUAUUUUUUUUUAAUAAUAUUUGUUGAUAAACUUAACCUGUUUUUACUUAAAUCAAAUAUAAAUACUUGGUACGUACCUAGUUGUUCACGAGCUCGUUACUUAAUAUAUAAUACUCAGUAAUAUUUUGUUAAUAUGUUAAUUGUUUUAUUGAUGUUUGUUUUUCAUUGUUGUUUUUACAAAGGCCUAUAAUUACAACCAGCACCAAUCUGA